rnacentral:rRNA from 1 species
UCCUAGCGGCGGACGGGUUAGUAACGCGUGGGAAUAUGCCCAAUGGUACGGAAUAGCCUCUGGAAACGGAGAGUAAUACCGUACGUGCCUUUCGAGGGAAAGAUUUAUCGCCAUUGGAUUAGCCCGCGUUGGAUUAGGUAGUUGGUGGGGUAAUGGCCUACCAAGCCUACGAUCCAUAGCUGGUUUGAGAGGAUGAUCAGCAACACUGGGACUGAGACACGGCCCAGACUCCUACGGGAGGCAGCAGUGGGGAAUCUUCGGCAAUGGGCGAAAGCCUGACCGAGCCAUGCCGCGUGAGUGAAGAAGGCCUUAGGGUCGUAAAGCUCUUUCGCCAGGGAUGAUAAUGACAGUACCUGGUAAAGAAACCCCGGCUAACUCCGUGCCAGCAGCCGCGGUAAUACGGAGGGGGUUAGCGUUGUUCGGAAUUACUGGGCGUAAAGCGCGCGUAGGCGGAUCGGAAAGUUGGGGGUGAAAUCCCGGGGCUCAACCCUGGAACUGCCUCCAAAACUAUCGGUCUUGAGUUCGAGAGAGGUGAGUGGAAUUCCGAGUGUAGAGGUGAAAUUCGUAGAUAUUCGGAGGAACACCAGUGGCGAAGGCGGCUCACUGGCUCGAUACUGACGCUGAGGUGCGAAAGUGUGGGG